rnacentral:rRNA from 1 species
GAUGAACGCUGGCGGCGUGCCUAAUACAUGCAAGUCGAGCGAACAGACGAGGAGCUUGCUCCUCUGACGUUAGCGGCGGACGGGUGAGUAACACGUGGAUAACCUACCUAUAAGACUGGGAUAACUUCGGGAAACCGGAGCUAAUACCGGAUAAUAUAUUGAACCGCAUGGUUCAAUAGUGAAAGACGGUUUUGCUUUCCCUUAUAGUUGGAUCCCGCCCGCAUUAGUUAGUUGGUAAGGUAACGGCUUACCAAGGCAACGAUGCGUAGCCGACCUGAGAGGGUGAUCGGCCACACUGGAACUGAGACACGGUCCAGACUCCUACGGGAGGCAGCAGUAGGGAAUCUUCCGCAAUGGGCGAAAGCCUGACGGAGCAACGCCGCGUGAGUGAUGAAGGUCUUCGGAUCGUAAAACUCUGUUAUUAGGGAAGAACAAAUGUGUAAGUAACUAUGCACGUCUUGACGGUACCUAAUCAGAAAGCCACGGCUAACUACGUG